rnacentral:tRNA from 2 species
GGGAGGGGAUGUGUCCCGGUGGGCGCCCUGGUCUUCAAAACCAGUGGCAGGCGGCGCAGAGCCGGCUGCGGUGGGUUCGACUCCCAUGCCCUCCCGCCA